rnacentral:rRNA from 1 species
GGGGCGUGGCGGCUAGCCUAAACAUGCAAGUCGAACGGCAGCACAGUAAGAGCCUUGCUCCUUAUGGGUGGCGAGUGGCGAGACGGGUGAGGAAUACAUCGAGAAUCUACCUUUUCGUGGGGGAUAACGUAGGGAAACUUACGCUAAUACCGCAUACGACCUUCGGGUGAAAGCAGGGGACCUUCGGGCCUUGCGCGGAUAUAUGAGCCGAUGUCAGAUUAUCUAGUUGGCGGGGUAAAGGCCCACCAGGGCGACGAUCCGUAGCUGGUCUGAGAAGAUGAUCACCCACACUGGAACUGACACACGGUCCACACUCCUACGGGAGGCAGCAGUGGGGAAUAUUGGACAAUGGGCGCAAGCCUGAUCCAGCCAUACCGCGUGGGUGAAAAGCGCCUUCGGGUUGUAAAGCCCUUUUGUUGGGAAAAAAAAGCAGCCAGUUAAUACCUGGUUGUUCUGACGGUACCCAAAGAAUAAGCACCGGCUAACUUCGUGCCAACAGCCGCGGUAAUACGAGGGGUGCAAGCGUUACUCGGAAUUACUGGGCGUAAAGCGUGCGUAUGUGGUUGUUUAACUCUGUUGUGAAAGCCCUGGGCUCAACCUGGGAAUUGCAGUGGAUACUGGGCGACUAGAGUGUGGUAGAGGGUAGUGGAAUUCCUGGGUGUAGCAGUGAAAUGCGUAGAGAUCGAGAGGAACAUCCAUGGGCGAAGCGCCUCUACGUGGGACCCAACACUGACACUGAGGCACGAAACGCGUGGGGGAGCAAAACGGAGAUUUAUAUACCCCUGGGUACUCCACCCCCCCUAAAUGAUGCAAAACUGGGAUGUUGGGGGUGCAAUUUUGGCACCACAAUAAUCAAAACCUAACCGC